rnacentral:rRNA from 1 species
UACGUAGGGUGCAAGCGUUGCCCGGAAUUAUUGGGCGUAAAGAGCUCGUAGGCGGUUUGUCGCGUCGAAUGUGAAAACCCGGGGCUCAACCCCGGGCCUGCAUUCGAUACGGGCAGACUAGAGUUCGGUAGGGGAGUCUGGAAUUCCUGGUGUAGCGGUGAAAUGCGCAGAUAUCAGGAGGAACACCGGUGGCGAAGGCGGGACUCUGGGCCGAUACUGACGCUGAGGAGCGAAAGCGUGGGGAGCAAACAGG